rnacentral:rRNA from 1 species
AGUGAACGCUGGCGGUAGGCCUAACACAUGCAAGUCGAACGGCAGCACAGUAAGAGCUUGCUCUUACGGGUGGCGAGUGGCGGACGGGUGAGGAAUACAUCGGAAUCUACUUUUUCGUGGGGGAUAACGUAGGGAAACUUACGCUAAUACCGCAUACGACCUACGGGUGAAAGCAGGGGAUCUUCGGACCUUGCGCGAUUGAAUGAGCCGAUGUCGGAUUAGCUAGUUGGCGGGGUAAAGGCCCACCAAGGCGACGAUCCGUAGCUGGUCUGAGAGGAUGAUCAGCCACGCUGGAACUGAGACACGGUCCAGACUCCUACGGGAGGCAGCAGCGGGGAAUAUUGGACAAUGGGCGCAAGCCUGAUCCAGCCAUACCGCGUGGGUGAAGAAGGCCUUCGGGUUGUAAAGCCCUUUUGUUGGGAAAGAAAAGCAGCAGGUUAAUACCCCGCUGUUCUGACGGUACCCAAAGAAUAAGCACCGGCUAACUUCGUG